rnacentral:rRNA from 1 species
GAUUACGGCCAUACCACACUGACAACGCCCGAUCUCGUCUGAUCUCGGAAGCUAAGCAGAGUUGGGCUGGGUCAGUACUUGGAUGGGUGACCGCCUGGGAAUACCCGGUGCAGUAAGCA